rnacentral:rRNA from 1 species
UGGGGAAUAUUGCACAAUGGGCGAAAGCCUGAUGCAGCAACGCCGCGUGAGGGACGACGGCCUCGGGUUGUAAACCUCUUUUAGCAAGGAAGAAGCGAAAGUGACGGUACUUGCAGAAAAAGCGCCGGCUAACUACGUGCCAGCAGCCGCGGUAAUACGUAGGGCGCAAGCGUUAUCCGGAAUUAUUGGGCGUAAAGAGCUCGUAGGCGGUUUGUCGCGUCUGCUGUGAAAACCCGAGGCUCAACCUCGGGCCUGCAGUGGGUACGGGCAGACUAGAGUGCGGUAGGGGAGAUUGGAACUCCUGGUGUAGCGGUGGAAUGCGCAGAUAUCAGGAAGAACACCGAUGGCGAAGGCAGAUCUCUGGGCCGUAACUGACGCUGAGGAGCGAAAGGGUGGGGAGCAAACAGGCUUAGAUACCCUGGUAGUCCACCCCGUAAACGUUGGGAACUAGUUGUGGGGUCCAUUCCACGGAUUCCGUGACGCAGCUAACGCAUUAAGUUCCCCGCCUGGGGAGUACGGCCGCAAGGCUAAAACU